GCGCCCGUAGCUCAGAUGGAUAGAGCGACGGACUACGAAUCCGUAGGUC
rnacentral:tRNA from 1 species